AACGAGGCCGACCUGCGGCUGAGUUACCUGCGGAAGGAUCAUUAACAAGAGUUAUGCCCUUCGGGGUAAAUCUCCCAACCCUAUGUUUUUUGACCUUGUUGCUUUGGUGGGUCGUGAAGUUUUAUUAAAAACUUUCCAUCGGUUUUGGCUGAUGUGUUACCCGCCAGAGGAAAUUAAAACUCUGAAUAUUUAUUUUCUGUCUGAGUUUUUAACUUAAAUUUAAUAAAACUUUCAACAACG
rnacentral:misc_RNA from 1 species